rnacentral:rRNA from 1 species
CGCCUACGGGAGGCAGCAGUAGGGAAUCUUCCACAAUGGGCGCAAGCCUGAUGGAGCAACGCCGCGUGAGUGAAGACGGCCUUCGGGUUGUAAAGCUCUGUCUGUCGGGACGAGGACCCGGGUGCAAACCCGGGGGGGACGGUACCGGCGGAGGAAGCCCCUGCAAACUACGUGCCAGCAGCCGCGGUAAGACGUAGGGGGCAAGCGUUGUCCGGAAUUACUGGGCGUAAAGGGCGUGUAGGCGGUAUCACACGUAGCGGUUUUCAGCCGUCGGCUCACCCGACGGAGGGCGGCUAAACGGUGGCACUGGAGGGCAGGAGAGGUGCACGGAAUUCCUGGUGGAGCGGUGAAAUGCGUAGAGAUCAGGAAGAACACCCGUGGCGAAGGCGGUGCACUGGCCUGACCCUGACGCUGAGGCGCGACAGCGUGGGGAGCGAACGGGAUUAGAUACCCCGGUAGUCCACGCCGUAAACGGAUGGAUAGUAGGUGUCGCGGGG